rnacentral:misc_RNA from 1 species
UUGUAUCAGAAGAUGAAGAAAGCUCGAAGAGACAACGAUGACAUUGACACCAAUUGAAUUACGCAUACAUAUGAUGCAAUUGGGAAAUUUAAUUAGUUUUAGUUUUCUUGUUUUUGUCUAUGAAAUUAUGGGAUGAGAACUUGAGAUCUUGAUAAGAUGUGAUUGGAGUAGGUAGCUAGCUAGGACCCAAAUGAUCUUGUAAAGUUGAAGUUGCAAAAUAUUAAAGAUUAAGGAAAAAAGAAGGAUGGGGAAUUCCAACUUUACUACUGCAUCUAAGGCUCUUUUGUACUCAAG